GGGGAGGGUUGGGAUCCCGCUAACAUGUUUAACCCCGCCACAUUAUUUAUGUAUAUGCCUGUCCCAAGUCAGGAGCCAGUAAUUCUGUGGUUGUCGUUUGUUUAUGUGUUACAUGUUUGUUUUUCGUUCAUUUUUUACAUAAAUAGGGCCGUUAGUUUUCUCGUUUGAAUUGUAUUACAUUGUCUUAUCGGGGCCUUUUAUAGCCCACUAUGCGGUAUGGGCUUUGCUCAUUUUUGAAAGCCGUACGGUGACCUUUAGUUGUUAAUGUCUGUGUCAUUUUGGUCUUUUGUGGAUAGUUGUCUC
rnacentral:lncRNA from 1 species